ACCAUAAUCCUACAUAAAAUAAAGUGUAUGAUGUUAAAUUGGACAGUAUAAAGCAAUGGAUUAUAUUGUGAUGAUUAUGUAAAUGUCUAGUCAUAAAGCACUGAUAUUGAUGGCGUUUGAUUCCUUGGAGAAAAAGUGUUAAAAUAAUAUGCACAUAAAUUAAAAUUUAAUAGUAGAAACUAAUUUGGCACUUAAUAUAUUUUGUUUUUUCUUAUGUUGCUUAUUCAAAAUGAAUACCCUGUAUGAUAUGUAGAUGUGUAUAUAUAAAAUGUGUAUUAUUUUUCAUAAUAAUUUUUAUAAAUUUUUUUAUGCACAAUUUCAGUAAUAAAUACAGGAGGUCCCUUAUUUAUGAUGGGGUUGUGUUCAAAAAUUUUCAUCAGCUCAAAUCCAUCAUAACUCUGAAUAUAAUUUUCAAUGAGUGCAUUAUUAUAAAUGGUAGUUACAUUCUCCACUUACCAGAGAACUGAAUAAAAAAUCAGUAUUCUUUUAAAAAGUAACACACAGUAAUGUUGAAUAAAGAACAAUAAUCAGCAAAUAAACAGUGUUUCCUUUUUAAAACAAAAAAAUUGUGUAUUUUGUGCCUGUCGGAACUUUAUAAGUAAAACUAAAGAAAACAUACUGCAAAAAAAAAACAAAGAUGAAAUGGUUGUUUUAAACUGGUACAGUCAGUCUCAGGUGGUGAUGUAAAUGUGACCAUUGCCAAAAGUAUCCUUUGGCAGCUUAAUUUAAAGUAAUCUAAUCAAGUUCCUAGCAAAUAUAAGCAAUUAUUUUUUAAUAUCAAUUUCUAAUUAUUGGUGACUACUACAUAA
rnacentral:lncRNA from 1 species